GACGAACGCUGGCGGCGUGCUUAACACAUGCAAGUCGAACGGAAAGGCCCUGCUUUUGUGGGGUGCUCGAGUGGCGAACGGGUGAGUAACACGUGAGUAACCUGCCCUUGACUUUGGGAUAACUUCUGGAAACUGGGGCUAAUACCGGAUAGGAGCUCCUGCUGCAUGGUGGGGGUUGGAAAGUUUCGGCGGUUGGGGAUGGACUCGCGGCUUAUCAGCUUGUUGGUGGGGUAGUGGCUUACCAAGGCUUUGACGGGUAGCCGGCCGGAGAGGGUGACCGGCCACAUUGGGACUGAGAUACGGCCCAGACUCCUACGGGAGGCAGCAGUGGGGAAUAUUGCACAAUGGGCGGAAGCCUGAUGCAGCAACGCCGCGUGCGGGAUGACGGCCUUCGGGUUGUAAACCGCUUUCGCGUGUGACGAAGCGUGAGUGACGGUAAUGGGUAAAGAAGCACCGGCUAACUACGUG
rnacentral:rRNA from 1 species